UGUUGUGUGCUCACCUGUGGGCAUUGGGCAAGCUUGAGUUUGAAUUAUGGCUGCAGGGUGAACAUGGGUAGAAACUUUCUGUUGACCCUUACCACUGGCGUUAAUCGUCGUCAUCAUAUUACUAACAUCUUUAACUGAUGUCUCGGAUGUACCUUUGCACUGCCUACAACAUGCAUCACUCAAAAACCGUCCUCUUCUAGGCCUGCACACUUCAGUCUGCCUGUGAAAAUCGAUAUCUGUCUGUCAGGAACCAUACUGAAAUAUCUUCUCUAAGACAGGACAUAUGAGGGAUACUUCCACGUUGGUUGUGGUUGUACUCGAGUGCACAGGACGGUCGACUGGCAGCAAUGGCCCAUGGCUGUCUGAGCCAGCAGCAGGAUUUCAUGCUCCAAUACCUUAUACAGUAGGAUUUGCAAGAGGAAGAACAAACAAAGUUGGACUUGAUCUCAUCCAUCAGGAAUUGAUUAGAAAGUGGGCGUUGAAUGUGGUUUUUGUGAAGGUCUCCUCUUUUGAAACUACAGACACAAAUAUUUGAGAAGGCUCUUUGACCAGAACAUGGAGGCUAAAUGUCAAGUUCAUCCUCGAGCAUCUCAGCAUAUCACAAUGGUGAAGAUUUUUUUUCUUUUAAAUCGUUAUUUGCUAUUUUUUGCUAUUACCUUUGGACUCGAGAUGAAGACGAUGUGUACGCUGAAAAUACAAGACCGCUGAAGUGCUGAGCAGAUGGAGACGAGCAUAAGCUCAGUGACAGAAUCAGUGUUUCGAAAACAGGCAGAUGGAAUGUCAAGUCCUAGUGAAUAAAUACAGGAACUGCUGUCAUAUUUAUAGAAUAAUAAAUGUGUGAAAAUUCAAUCUGUGUAGAUGUGGUACAUUGCUGUUCAACACCAGCUUUGAAAAAUAUUAUUUUACAGAAGGCCUCAAGUUAUCAAGAUUAGUAAGCGGUUACAUCACACUAAUCUCAUGUUAACAUGUAUAAUGUGUACGUCUGGUGGUCAUACUGGUGGUAGGAUGAGAGAUUCCCUGAUAUGAUUGUAAAGUACUUUGGGUGUACAGUAGUAUAUGAAAGCUAAUUUAAUGCCUUAUUCAUUCUUGUGGCUAUACAUUCAAUUUUAAGAUGUAAAUUGAUGCAAUUUCUUGACCCUUAUUUUUUUAGUUCAAGUGCAAUUCUGUAAACAAAUGUUUGUUAUUUUUUUCAAACUGAUGGAUUCUUUUCAAGAUUAUUUAAAAUUAUU